UUAUUUUCUGCAUAAGAGAACUUUUACAAUCUUUGGUUUCUCCUCAGCCUGAUGAAGCGUUCACAUGCCCAAAACCUUGCAAAGAAAGAUUUUCUUCUGCUACUUUUUAGUUGGUCUAAUAAAAGAUAUCACCUCUGAACCAAGAAUUUUGUGUUUCUCUAGAGAUCAAAAUGAUUUUAUUUGCAUUCACAAAAUAUUAUGGCCAUAAACUUGCAACAGAAGGCCUUAGCUGGAACAGAGACUAUUAGAGUCAGCUGACAGCAAACUAUCACUUGUUGAGGAUUUUGACCUAUGUAAUUGUACUAUAUAUAUACUUUGGUUAAUCUAUAAGGUGCAGAUCUACCCUCUGUCUCCUACUGGGCACAUCCACACAAUCAUCAAUACACAGUAGUUACUACACAUUAAGCCAAGUACUAAAUCUAUGCGCAGUAACUCGCGCUACUGCUCAGUAGUGCUGGCACAUGGGUUUUUAGCAAGGCUUAUUGCACAGUAGCUUAAUACUACUGAGCAGUAGCAUAUUAAUACAGUUUUUGCCUGUCACACUACUGCACAGUGUUUUUAGACUACUGCACAGUUAGUGUCUUGUGUAGAUGUACCUUCUGUGACUAAGGCAAUGGCAGCAAUUAAUAAAGUUCUUUUACUACAUUUAUGACUCAACAUUGGGUUUUCAAAUAUCAUAUGCUUUAACUCAAGUGUAAAGAAUUUGCAGAGGCCCAAACCACAUUCUUUGUAUGAAAUUAUUUGAGGAUUAAACUGAGGAUUGUUUCCAAAGCAUAAGAAAUCUGCCUUCUUUUCCAGUUUUGUUAUCUGCAAAAGGCAAACGUGGAAAAAAACAAUGUCACUUCAAUAUUCAGAUUCUGCUUAGGGAUUCCACCAAAUCCAAACUGGAUUAUCAGGUUUGAGGCUCCAACUUUGGUAGCUUGGGUCUGAAACAGCACAAAUGACACAAGUUAAUAGAGUAAAAUUAAUGUCAUUUCAUGGUGAUCUUAAGCACUGGCUAAUGCUUGCUGCACCUGCAGGGUUAUGCAGAUGGUGCAUACUUAAUUACUAUGCACCCCACUGGCUUUCAAUUUACUAAUAAAACCUCUCAGCUGAGCAUAUAAUAGAGCACUGUGUGUUAAUUCUGGCUGAUCUGGGGCCAUGGAAACUGUGCUCUCUCCUCUCAAAUAUACUACUAUUGAUUGCCCUCAAAAACCAAAUGCAGAGGCUUUAGCUUACUUCUUAGUAGGAACCAAAUCCAAGUUUGGAUGUGAAGCUUGCCUCUACACACACACACACGCAUGUGCACACACACACACGAUCUGCAAAAGUUGGCUUCAGGUUCCACUUUUUGAAGUUCUCCACAGUGCAAUGGCAUUUGCCAUUGGUUGGGACCAGUUUUCAGAGGAGGACUAACUACAUCAAAGAGUGAUUUAUUUUCAAUAUCAUUUUAGAAGCAAUAUAAUAAAGAAAGACAUAUUACUGAGGGCACCAGGCACUGCUGUAAACACAAGGCUGUGUAAUAUACCUCAACCAGCCAAAUGUAGCCAGUGAAGUUCUACAUAAUUUAUUUGAUGGUAUUUAAGGGGUAAUUUUUUUUUAGUAAUUUAGCCUUCCCACCUAACACUUUCUAAAGGUAUUUCCCACUGAAAAACAAUUGGAGUCAGCUGCCUAAGUAGCAUUAAAAAUUUGAUCCUUGGACAUGUUCAAAAAAGGUACCAAAAGACUCCCACAUAGCAUGCAAAACUCUUCUAAUUCCCUAAUGCAGAAUAAGUUAAAGUUUACCAAGAGUAUUUACUUAACUGGGCUUGCCCUUCUGAUGGUAUUCUAAAGAAUGAAAAGUUGAAAGUAUAUUAAGUAUGACAAGUACUAAUAUCAACAAUCAUUGUACAGAGCCAUGUAUUAGAUAACAAAAGCGUGGUAAUUAGAAGUAAAUGAAGCAAUCAUCCGGCAUUCUACAUACUGUCUUUGAUAAAAUAAUAUAUUUGGGUUGAGGGAGAGAGAAAGAGUUGGCUACAAGAUCUGGAUUAUACCAUUUUUCUUUCAGAAAGUGGCAUGGAUUCUUUAAAAUCUUCUAAGACUUGUCCAGAGUUAAUUUUCUGUUUUUGAAAAAAUACUAUUUCAUUCCACUUCAGAAAAGGAGCCCCUCAUGACUGCACAAUACAGUGCCUUCAUCUGGGUCAAGAUGCUUUGUAUUUGUGAUGUCCCUAGAAAUCAUAGAAGUGAGUGGAGGUACACACUUGGAAGAAUAGAGCUGUGAGUCAGGUCUAAUAUUUCUUAGUUACUAUAAAAGCUGGUGAAAUAAAGAGCCAGAUAGAUUCAGUAUAAAAUAGAUCAUUUAAUCCGUUGUCACGUCUUCUGUUCUGUGAAACUGUGAGGAUCAAAUGGGGAAAACAAGCUUAUUUAUGUUAUCAAUUCUGGCAUGCAUUGCUAUGUCAUACCUGCACACGUAUAUACAUAUUUCAGCCAACAUUUUGUAUUUAUGUCAAUCUGCUUUUGUAAAGCAAUAAUCUGGCACUUAAACAGCAUAUGAUUCUUUAAGGGAUCACAAGCACAGGGACCUAUACACACUCUUCCCAAUUACACAAAGUAGAUGAUGCGUGUUAUAACAUUUGUGAGGCUUUUGCACGUUUUGUACAAACUACUCUAGAGCAAGGUGGUAAAACAUCUGUUGUUUCAAAGAGACAGAACAUGUUCAGUAGCUAAUGCAUAGGAAUAUAGGCAUGUCUAUAUUGAUUAGAUAGGGCUGACCAACUAGUGGCCAGCAAGCCACAUACAGUCCUUAAGGCUUAAAAAAGAAGUUACACAUAAACCAGUUUAAGUUUAUGUGUAAUAUAAGGCUGUUUGGGCCUUACUGCAUGGGACACGUAUUACACGUAAAAUGUGUGCAAUGUUCCGCGGUAUUAAAAUUUGAGCUACUGCAUGGAACAGUCACACAGUAAUGUUUACAAUGAACCCCACAUGCACAACUUGUGUUCUGUCACUAGAGGGCCAUUGAGCAGGCCUCCCAGCACGCUGAAACUGACUUUUCUGCCUAUAUCCAACAGCAGCUGAAAACAGGCGGAAGUGGACAAAGCACCAAUGAAUGGACCAUCUCGCUUAGGUCGGCAGUGUUUAAACACACAUCCCGUGGUGUUUAAAUCUUCCCGGAUCCACCCCUCACUCCUGGAGCAAUGUUUUUCCCGCCGACACUGUGAGAAGUCUUUGGAUGAUACUGGUCCCGAUUCCAAUUCACUCCAGGCUUUGCACCAUUGGAACUCCAUGGGCGGCAGUGUACUUACUCUUGGGUGCAUCUACACAUUAGGGUGUGUGAAAUGGGCUGUAUUCAAUUUGGAUUCGGCCUGAAUUGCAGACAGUGUUUUGAUUUGUUGAUUGGAUCACUGUCUUGAUUUGAUUCGGCUGAAUCUGAAUCUGAAGAUUUGACGUCGAUUUGAAGAAUAAGCCAUUCGGCCAUAGACACAGCUUUAAAUGUUUUUUCUACAUACUUCGAGGUAGCAGGCAUGGCUUGUGAACGCUAUGAUGCUAGGGUGGAUAGAAUGUCCCACAGGAGCGUGGGGAGCCCCCCAGCAUGCUUGGCAGUGAACCCAGAAGUGGACUGGAAGUACUUCUGGUUCACUUCUGGAUCUGCCACUGAGCAUGCAGGGGAACCCCCUCCUGCCCCCCCAGAUUGGUGAUUGGCCAUGGCGGGGCCCAGACCCAGGAGGCACCAGUCACUAAGCCGGGCGGUGGGGGGGGGGGUCCCCCACCCGCUCCCUGGCAGACCUGGAAGUGGACCAGAAGUGCUUCUUGUCCACUUCUGGGUCUGCUGCCAAGUGUGCCGGGGACCCCCCUUGCAUUCCUGUGGCACAUUCCAUCUCAGCAUUCACGAGCUGCCUGGUACCUUGAGGUAUGUAGAAAAAAUAUUUA